rnacentral:rRNA from 1 species
UACGUAGGUGACCAGCGUUGUCCGGAUUUACUGGGCGUAAAGAGCGCGCAGGCGGUCGUUCAAGUCGAGUGUGAAAGCCCCCGGCUCAACUGGGGAGGGUCACUCGAUACUGAUCGACUUGAAGGCAGGAGAGGGAAGCGGAAUUCCCGGUGUAGUGGUGAAAUGCGUAGAUAUCGGGAGGAACACCGGUGGCGAAGGCGGCCUACUGGACAGCACCUGACACUGAGACGCGAAAGCGUGGGGAG